CUGGAUAUCUGGUUGGCUGGCAUAUUGCUGGGUGUAAUGAUGGAGUACCAACGAGUGAGCCUUGCAGACAAACAGUCGGUAAUAACGGACGUGUAAGCAGAUGCACCGCUGGCUAUGACGUGUUUUGUGGGGAGACGUCGCGAGCCAAAAUGGAAUGAUCCAAUCGUCAAUGAGCUUCCUGCUGGGAAGCAGGUGCAGCUCAACGACGUGCAUCAUGUCUGCCUGAAACGGAGGUAUCAGUGUGUCUUUCAGUGACCGAGUUAGCAAUCUGUCUGUCUGACACUGGGGUGGCAAUCUGUCAGUCUGACACUUAGGUAGCCGUCUGUCUGUCACUGAGGUAGCGAUCUGUCCGUCAGUCACUGAGGUAGCGAUCUGUCCGUCAGUCCCUGAGGUAGUGAUCUGUCCGUCAGAACCUGAGGUGGAGAUCUGUCUGCCUGACACUGAGGUAGAAAUCUGUCUGUCUAACAUUGUGGUAGCAAUGUGUCUGCUUGACACUGAGUUAGGAAUCUGUCUGUCUGCACUGAGGAAGCAAAGAAAUAGAGAAAAUGGAAAAUCAAGCAAAAUCCUAGACAAGCACAAACACCAAAUUCCCGGAGCAGAGCCGCCGGACUCACGCCAGGGGCAGCCGGGCCACAGGCAGCCCGGCCGCAGACCGGGGAGCCCGGCCGCAGGCAGCCCUCAGCCGGGGAGCCCGCAGCCGGGGAGCCCGCAGCCGGGGAGCCCGCAGUCGGGGAGCCCGCAGUCGGGGAGCCCGCAGUCGGGGAGCUGCCGGGCCCAUGUCCCAUUAUGUUCAACAAAAUGGGACAAUGAUAUCCAUAUGUUCCACUCCAGUUUGAAGGAGAUCAUAUAGGCCACUGCCACCACAGAGCCCAUCCCUCCACCUCAGGCACCUCCUCUGCAUUGGUAGCCUUAAGCCCCCCAACCCCCAGGAAGAUUGACAGAUUAACCAUCCACUGAUAGUUUAAAACCGACCCCUUUGAAAAAGUUAUUAAUAAAAGGUGAUGGUUGAUGCCUUUUUGAAAGAUGGAAGAUUAGUUCCAUUGUAUCACUCUUUCUUGUUUGUAUGAUAUGUAUGUUUAACUUGGAUGGCUACUACCUGAAGUUCUAUGUUUAUUCUGGUUUGAUAUAUUAUGUUGAUCCUGUAUAAUGUUUGAUACAAAAUAAAGUGCAAUAUUGCAGUUUCUAACAGAUA